rnacentral:rRNA from 1 species
GACGAACGCUGGCGGCGUGCUUAACACAUGCAAGUCGAACGGAAAGGCCCUUCGGGGUACUCGAGUGGCGAACGGGUGAGUAACACGUGGGUGAUCUGCCCUGCACUUUGGGAUAAGCCUGGGAAACUGGGUCUAAUACCGAAUAGGACCACGCGCUUCAUGGUGUGUGGUGGCAAGCUUUUGCGGUGUGGGAUGGGCCCGCGGCCUAUCAGCUUGUUGGUGGGGUAAUGGCCUACCAAGGCGACGACGGGUAGCCGGCCUGAGAGGGUGACCGGCCACACUGGGACUGAGAUACGGCCCAGACUCCUACGGGAGGCAGCAGUGGGGAAUAUUGCACAAUGGGCGCAAGCCUGAUGCAGCGACGCCGCGUGAGGGAUGACGGCCUUCGGGUUGUAAACCUCUUUCAAUAGGGACGAAGCGCGAGUGACGGUACCUAUAGAAGAAGCACCGGCCAACUACGUG